rnacentral:ncRNA from 1 species
GAACCAUAUGAAAGGAGAGAAGGUUAGCACUCCCCUUGAUAAGGAUUGAAGAGGUCCUAGUGGCAUUUACAACACAUAUAUGGUUAAGGCAUUGCCACCUUCUCUGUGGCAUCUAACCAAGUUAGUGU